rnacentral:sRNA from 1 species
UGUUACAAACGGAAUGACUAAGUUACUAUACCUUCCAUACUAUUGUAGUGGGUUUAAAAUUUCGGUAUUUGUAUUCCAAUAUAGGAACCUCAGUUUGCUCAUAUCAGUACAUUCAUCAAUAUCAGUACAACACAAAGUAGAUCGGUUGCUCCCAAAAUUUAGAACAUUUUCAAAUUUCUACAAUGGGUAAACCUAAGAUAGAGUAUACAUAUAUUCAUCAAAAUGGUUUCUUUAAACUUCAUCUAGGGAAACCGCUCGCCCCUUUGGAAGAUGUAAAGAGGGAAAUUAUGGGGGACAUAGAGGAUUCUUCUUUACCAUGUCCACCUUGCAUAACCCUUUUUUGGAAAGACGAAGGCGGAGAUAAAAUAUCUAUUGAAAACCAGCAUGAUUACGAUAGAUUUAUUCAAGACCGCGAACAAAGUGAUUAUCUUAUAGUUGUUCCUCAAAAAAUAGGAUCUUCCGACAAUGUUCAAAAUGAUUUUAAAAUGCAUGGAAAUGCCACCGAUACCAUCGUUUCAAAGCCUAAUAUAAUUUUAGACACCAUAAAUUCCAUCAAAAAUGCAGAAAACGAUAUGCAAAUAACCAGUUCCAUGGUCAAUUUAGGCGCCCACUCCCUACUAUUCGUUCGCGAUGCAAUGAAUGCAUUUUACUCGGAUUAAGGUGGUAAUUUCAAAAGCAGUGUUGCAACAACAAUUUUAAUAUACAGAAUCAUUUAUACUAGAAUCAUAUCCUACAUAAAAUACAAAGUUUAGAACAAUGGCAAUUAAAUAACAAGUGUAUUAAUGGACAAUACUUUCAGCCAUAUUCACAAAAAUAAGAUUGUAUAAUGGGUUUAAAAUCUCUGUUAACUAUGACUCCUUUUUUGCUUAAUAAACUACUAUGAGAAACAAAGGUAUAGUAAAAA